UGACCGAAUGCCAAGCACCUAGUGCACUGA
rnacentral:sRNA from 1 species